GUAGGUUGUUUGUGAGUAGUAUGUGUGUAAGCCGCAAACAUUCCCAGAUCUUCUGACUUCCAGUCUGGGACUUUUUGUGCUAAAGCAGUUUCAGAGGUCCAGAGAACUCGGAGGGUUCGGGGAUAGAGUCAAGGGAUUCGGUGAGUUGUCACAUAGGAGAGACCCCGCAGCAAAACACACUACUCUGAGGCAAAUACUAAACAUUGUUUUUACUACUGUUAUUAAUUAGAUUAUACUUUAUUUUUUGUCAACUUUUGUCAGGCACCGUUCUCAACCUUGUUUGUUUACUCUUCACAGUGCCCUGUGAGUUGCCUCCUAUUAAAACGCUCACUUUAGAGAGGGGACACUGAGGCACAGAGAGAGGUUAAAUAACACAUUCAUGCUUAAAAAGCUGAAAGUCGUCAGAGCUGAGAUUUAUACCCAACCAAUCUAGCUCAUAAAGCCACGCAUACUGAUAUUUGUGUUUUACGCUGUGACAAAAUGGGGUUGUGAUAAGAUCUGUCUUUGAUAAUACAUACUUUUGUCACCAUCUACAAGACGCCGCUGACUUUUUUAAAACUCCUAAAGGGCAGGAGGAAGAAAAAACGAAACAGAGAGGCACCUAACUAAGUCCUUGACUGUGGACAGACUAUAUAUGGGCUGAUUAUGAGAAACUCACAUGCAGGCGCUAUGUUUGGAAUUCCAUUUUAGCUGAAUGUUCCAGACUGUCACAUCCCUCAGUGUCUCCAUGGAAGUGCCCACUAUGGGAGAAUGGCCGAAUGACAUGAUUGGAAUGGAAUGCAGCAGUCAUCUUAUCUGACCACACAGAUACCUGCCAGGGGAGGACUGCCUCACAUCCUCAUGAUAAUUUUGAAGACUUUCUGAGAAGGGCCUGGUGAGACCACAGCAGUUCCUGGACAGGGUCCACCACCUCCAUCACUGUGCCUUGUCCCUGUCUUCCUUGCAUUAGUGUGUAUGUGUAAUCACAGGUCACCUACUGACUAUGUGCAUGGAAAGCUCACUUAUCUUUGCAUCUGUGGGACCCAGAACAAAAGCCAUGAAGUAUUUUGAAACGUCAUGAUCUUGCAAUUUUGUGAGUUCCAGCCCCGCAUCCGGCUAUGCA